UGCCAGCUUCCAGAACUAUGAGAAAUCGUUGUUUACAAGCCACCCAGUUUAUGGCAUUUUGUUAUACAGCUUGACUACACUAAAACAAGUAUGUUUCACGCAAGAUAAAAUUCUUAUCCCCAUUUAAAUGUACAUAUUCAACAACAGGAAGUGUCAGACACCUCUCUCUCUUGGUAAACCAUUUAAACAGAGAAGUGAAAAUGAUCAGUUCAAAGAGUUGUGUUUUGUAAGCCUGAAUAGGAAAUAAAAUCAAUCUGAUUGAGGUAUUUGAUGUAGGCUGCUCUAGGAGCCUAGCCAGAGCCACCUUCUCCUGGGCCUCUUCACAUUAAUAUCUAUCUGAAUGUUCAGCUGGGGAUCAUAAUAGAAGGCUGAAAUUGAUGUGGCAAUCCUGGAAAACAAGAGACUCCUGGACCAGAGAAAAGGAUAUUCUCAUUCAGGGCACAGCAAACAACAUGAACAUCAGCAUAUUUGUGUCAGUUCCUCUUGCCCUCAAGUCCCACAAGGAUGCUGCAGCUGUGCCCAGCGGGUGCCUGCACAAACAGAGGUUUGCAGGACCGGAACUCAAAACUUGAAGCAGAUCUUCUUCCUGGGUAGUAAGCAUGCCUGCCCUUUGCUCCGGAGGCGGACAUUAUCUCUUUUCCCAAGCUGUUUGCUGUACAAAUAUCCUGGAAUAAAGGAUCUGAAGAAAGAAUUAGAAAAAUCCACCUCUUUUUUUUUUUUUAAU